rnacentral:rRNA from 1 species
GUGGGGAAUCUUCCGCAAUGGACGAAAGUCUGACGGAGCGACGCCGCGUGAGUGAAGAAGGCCUUCGGGUCGUAAAGCUCUGUCAUCAGGGACGAACGGCCGGUGGAGUGGAAAGCCACCGGAUUGACGGUACCUGAGAAGGAAGCCACGGCUAACUACGUGCCAGCAGCCGCGGUAAUACGUAGGUGGCAAGCGUUGUCCGGAAUUAUUGGGCGUAAAGCGCGCGCAGGUGGGAUCUUAAGUCCAUUUUUAAAGUUCGGAGCUCAACUCCGUGAUGGGAUGGAAACUGGGAUUCUUGAGUACCGGAGAGGAAAGCGGAAUUCCCCGUGUAGCGGUGAAAUGCGUAGAUAUGGGGAGGAACACCAGUGGCGAAGGCGGCUUUCUGGACGGUGUCUGACACUGAGGCGCGAAAGCCAGGGGAGCGAACGGGAUUAGCUACCCGGGUAGUCC